UUUAAAAUGAGUUUGAUCCUGGCUCAGGGUGAACGCUAAUAAUAUGCUUUACACAUGCGAGUUGUACGAAAUUUUAUCGUGGCGAACGGGUGAGGAAAACGCAACUAUUUAUGUCCUUAUAUUUCGUUGAAAAAUGUAAAGCGAAUUAAAACGUAACUUUAUUUAAAAUAAAUUUUAUUUUUACGUUAGACAUAAAACCUACCUUUUAAAUUAAAAUAAGCUAUACCCACUUUAAUUUUAAAUUUUUUUGGGUAAAACUAUUUUCUAGUUAAUAGUAAUAUUAAAUAAUAAGUUUAAACAAAAAACUUUGUUAAAGACUGAAGGCAUUUUUUAAAUUUUACUAAUAUAAAUUAAGCGUUGAUAAUCUUUUAGAUUCUUAAUGCAAAAAUAGUAUUAAGCAGAUUUACAAACGUUUACAGGUGUUAAAAGAUGAUGUUGUGUAAGAUUAGGUUGUUGGUAGAAAUAAUAGUUUACCAAGCCUGCGAUCUUUAGUUGGUCUUAGAGGAUGUACAACCACACUGGAACUGAGACAAGGUCCAGGCUAUUUUUAGCCAGCAGUGAGGAAUAUUGGACAAUGAACGAAAGUUUGAUCCAGCAAUAUUAUGUGAAUGAAUGACGGUUAAUUUUCGAUUGUAAAGUUCUUUCGUUAAAAAUGAUAGUGACGUUAUUUAAAGAAGUUUUAGUCCCGGCUAAUCUCGUGCCAGCAGCCGCGGUAAUACGUGAGGGGCAAGCGUUACCCGUAAUUACUGGGCGUACAGAGUCCGUAGAUUGUACUAUAAGUUAUAUGUUAAAAUUUAAAGCUCAACUUUAAAAAAAUAUAUAAUACUGUUUUACUUGAGUUUAGUGCAGAAGAGUAGAAUUUCAUGUUAAGGAGUAAAUUCCAAAAAUACAUGAAGGAACAUCAUUAGCGAAAGCGACUCUUUAGCACAAACUGACAUUGAGGGACGAAAGUGUAGGGAGCGAACAGGAUUAGAUACCCUGGUAGUCUACACCGUAAAUUCUGAGUGCUGUAAUUUAAAAGAAUUUUAGAUUUUUUAAGCUAACGCCAUAAGCAUUCCGCCUGAGGAGUAUGAUUGCAAAAUUGGAACUCAAAGGAAUUGACGGGAGCCUACAACGAGUGGUGGAGCAUGUGGUUUAAUGCGAUAAUCCGCGCAAAACCUUACCAACCCUUGACAUAUUGAAUGUUUUAUUUGCCAUAAAUAAGAUUUAAGAAUAAAGUUUUAUUCUUUAAUUAAACGUUCACUACAGGUGUUGCACGACUGUCGUCAGCUCGUGUCGUAAGAUGUUUGGUUCAUUCCUUUUAACGAGCGCAACUCUUAUUUUUAAAAAUUUACCUUCAGUUUUAACCUUUAAACGUUAAAAUCUUUGCUUUAAAAAAACUGUGAAGCCAAAAAAAAAUUUCAAAGGAAGGUGAGAAUUAAGUCAAGUCACUGUGGCCCUAAUGGGUUGGGCUACACACGUGCUACAAUGAAAAUGACAAAAAGUAACAAAAACAAUAACUUUUAGUUAAUCUUUAAAAAUUUUCUUAGUUCGGAUUGUAAACUGCAACUCGUUUACAUGAAGGUGGAAUCACAAGUAAUCGCAAAUCAGAACGUUGCGGUGAAUAUGUACCUUGGCUUUGUACACACCGCCCGUCACAUGCAGAAAGCUAGUUUUACUUGAAAAUUAAACUUUUAAAAGUUAAUUUAUUGAAAAAUUAGCAAUUUGGAUGAAGUCGUAACAAGGUAGCUGUACGGGAACGUGUAGCUGGAACAAAUGAAAU
rnacentral:rRNA from 1 species